CAGCAGCAGCCGCGGUAAUACGGAGGGCGCGAGCGUUACCCGGAUUUACUGGGCGUAAAGGGCGUGUAGGCGGCCUGGGGCGUCCCACGUGAAAGGCCACGGCUCAACCGUGGAGGAGCGUGGGAUACGCUCAGGCUAGAGGGUGGGAGAGGGUGGUGGAAUUCCCGGAGUAGCGGUGAAAUGCGCAGAUACCGGGAGGAACGCCGAUGGCGAAGGCAGCCACCUGGUCCACUUCUGACGCUGAGGCGCGAAAGCGUGGGGAGCAAAUCGGAUUAGAUACCCGAGUAGUCCCUGUCUCUUAUAC
rnacentral:rRNA from 1 species